GGGGGAACCCUGAUCCAGCAAUGCCGCGUGAGUGAAGAAGGCCCUCGGGUUGUAAAACUCUUUCAUCAAUGAUGAUAAUGACAUUAGUUGAAGAAGAAGCUCCGGCUAACUUCGUGCCAGCAGCCGCGGUAAUACGAAGGGGGCUAGCGUUGUUCGGAAUCACUGGGCGUAAAGCGUAUGUAGGCGGAUCAAAAAGUUAGAUGUGAAAUCCCUGGGCUCAACCCAGGAACUGCAUUUAAAACUAGUGAUCUAGAAAUUGGCAAGGGUUAGUAGAAAUUCCAGUGUAGAGGUGAAAUUCGUAGAUAUUGGAAAGAAUACCAGAAGCGAAGGCGACUAACUAGACCAUUUUUGACGCUGAGAUACGAAAGCGUGGGUAGCAAACAGGAUUAGAUACCCUGGUAGUCCACGCAGUAAACGAUGAGUGCUAGUCGCUGGGACAAUAGUUUCAGUGUCGAAGCUAACGCAUUAAGCACUCCGCCUGGGAAGUACGGUCGCAAGAUUAAAACUCAAAUAAAUUGACGGGGGCCCGCACAAGCGGUGGAGCAUGUGGUUUAAUUCGAAGCAACGCGAAGAACCUUACCAGACCUUGACAUGGUAUGUUUAGAUUUCAGAAUCGAAAUCUUUCAGUUCGGCUGGCAUACACACAGGUGCUGCAUGGCUG
rnacentral:rRNA from 1 species